rnacentral:rRNA from 1 species
AGUGAACGCUGGCGGCGUGCUUAACACAUGCAAGUCGAACGAGAACGGAUUAUAGCUUGCUAUAAUUGUCAGCUAAGUGGCGCACGGGUGAGUAAUGUAUAGGUAAUAUGCCUCUUGCUAAGGGAUAACAAAUGGAAACGUUUGCUAAUACCUUAUACUCCUUAUUAACAUAAGUUAAUAAGGGAAAGAUUUAUUGGUAAGAGAUUAGCCUGUAUUGUAUCAGUUAGUUGGGGGGGUAAUGGCUUACCAAGACUAUGACACAUAACUGGUUUGAGAGGAUGAUCAGUCACACUGGAACUGAGACACGGUCCAGACUCCUACGGGAGGCAGCAGUGGGGAAUAUUGCACAAUGGACGAAAGUCUGAUGCAGCAACGCCGCGUGGAGGAUGACACAUUUCGGUGCGUAAACUCCUUUUAUAUGAGAAGAUAAUGACGGUAUUAUAUGAAUAAGCACCGGCUAACUCCGUGCCAGCAGCCGCCGUAA